rnacentral:rRNA from 1 species
AUUGAACGCUGGCGGCAGGCCUAACACAUGCAAGUCGAGCGGAGCGGCGGACGGGUGAGUAUUGCCUAGGACUCUGCCUGGGAGUGGGGGAUAACGUUCGGAAACGGGCGCUAAUACCGCAUCCUAUCAGAUGAGCCUAGGUCGAAUUAGCUAGUGGGUGGGGUAAAGGCCUACCAAGGCGACGCUCCGUAACUGGUCUGAGAGGAUGAUCAGUCACACUGGAACUGAGACGCGGUCCAGAAUCCUACGGGAGGCAGCAGUGGGGAAUAUUGGACAAUGGGCGAAAUCCUGAUCCAGCCAUGCCGCGUGUGUGAAGAAGGUCUUCGGAUUGUAAAGCACUUUAAGUUGGGAGGCGUUACCAACAGAAUAAGCGCCGGCUAACUUCGUGCCAGCCGCCGCGGUAAUAC